GGGCGAGUGGUGGAAUGGUAGACACCCCAGCCUUAGGAGCUGGUGCCGCGUGAGCGGCGUGUCGGUUCGAAUCCGACCUCGCCCACCA
rnacentral:tRNA from 1 species